rnacentral:rRNA from 1 species
GACGAACGCUGGCGGCGUGCUUAACACAUGCAAGUCGAACGGAAAGGCCCUGCUUUUGUGGGGUGCUCGAGUGGCGAACGGGUGAGUAACACGUGAGUAACCUGCCCUUGACUUUGGGAUAACUUCAGGAAACUGGGGCUAAUACCGGAUAGGAGCUCCUGCUGCAUGGUGGGGGUUGGAAAGUUUCGGCGGUUGGGGAUGGACUCGCGGCUGAUCAGCUUGUUGGUGGGGUAGUGGCUUACCAAGGCUUUGACGGGUAGCCGGCCUGAGAGGGUGACCGGCCACAAUGCGACUGAGAUACGGACCAGACUCCUACGGGAGGCAGCAGUGGGAAAUAUUGCACAACGGGAGGAAGCCGGAUGAAGCAACGCCGCGGUCGGGAUGACGGCCUGCUGGUUGUAAACCGCUUUCGCCUGUGACGAAGCGUUAGUGACGGUAAUGGGUGAAGAAGCACCGGCUAACUACGUG